GUGUACCCAAGUAGCAGCGGGCCCGUGAAAUCUGCUGUGAAUCUGUCGGGACCACCCGAUAAGCCUGAAUACUCCCUGGUGACCGAUAGCGGACUAGUACCGUGAGGGAAAGGUGAAAAGUACCCCGGGAGGGGAGUGAAAUAGUACCUGAAACCGUGCGCCUACAAGCGGUCGGAGCCAGCAAUGGUGACGGCGUGCCUUUUGCAUAAUGAGCCUACGAGUUACUCCUCCCCGGCAAGGUUAAGCGCUUUAAGGCGCGGAGCCGAAGCGAAAGCGAGUCUGAAUAGGGCGUGUUGAGUUCGUGGGAUCAGACCCGAAACCGAGUGAUCUAGCCAUGGCCAGGCUGAAGGCUGGGUAACACCAGCUGGAGGGCCGAACCCACACCUGUUGAAAAAGGUCGGGAUGAGCUGUGGCUAGGGGUGAAAGGCUAAUCAAACUCGGUGAUAGCUGGUUCUCCCCGAAAUGCAUUUA
rnacentral:rRNA from 1 species